GAAUGCCAACAAUCACUGUUCAGUUGCUGUGGUUUUAUACUCCUUAGAUGAUCUGAAAAUCCCAUAGGCCUUCCAGGGCUACCCUGACACUUCCUCCGGGGAACAAGCUUUCGGGACCAUCUGAGGCUGACCUUUAGUUGGCCAAAGGGCACUAUUUCCUGUUCCUGGCCAGAGCAGUAGGGCCAAAAGAAUCAUGGUUUCCUGCUUCCUGAUGAAAGGACCAUGUGAAGUAUGGAGGGAACAGGUUCUGAUGAUGAAACCUGGGAGUCUGCACUGGAUAUGGGGUGGGUACCCAGAGAAGUACAUUCAGAGAUGGAGAACUGAUCUCAGACCAGGGUGUGAUAGAGACCAAGUCAUGGGUGUGAUGAGGACCACUAAAUGGGUCUUAAAGUGUGGGUACACAGUCCAAGACAUGGUGGAAUAAAGUGGACUUUCAGUGUGAGUGGGGCUAGACCUUCCUCUAUCCCUUUACCCAGCAUAGCACUUAUUAAAAGUGUAACUAAUAUGAGUUAAAUUCCAUGGAGAAUCCUAUAAGUCCACUGUCUUUAGGCUGUACCAUGUUAGAUGGAGCCAAGAGCAUCAGACCUCUUCCACUGAGACACAAAAGGACAAUAGACAGAACUGAAGAGUUCCAUGUUAAGCAGACAAUCUUACAGACAGAGGAGAAUGAGACUCUGAGAAGGAAGCUCAUCCACUGAGGCAUUCUCUCCUGAGUUCCCUCACAUGCCUGGUUACUCAGUCAUAGCAGCUCCCCAGGCACUAAGCGCUGUGUGUGUUGUCUUGUGAUGUUUUGAACAAACACGUGAAUAAAUCAUUUAAGUAGGG